CCUACGGGUGGCAGCAGUGGGGAAUAUUGCACAAUGGGGGAAACCCUGAUGCAGCGACGCCGCGUGAAGGAAGAAGUAUCUCGGUAUGUAAACUUCCAUUAGCAGGGAAGAAAAUGACGGUACCUGACUAAGAAGCCCCGGCUAACUACGUGCCAGCAGCCGUGGGAAUACGGAGGGGGCAAGCGUUAUCCGGAUUUACUGGGGGUAAAGGGGGUGUAGGCGGUUUAGCAAGUCAGAAGUGAAAGCCCGGGGCUCAACUCCGGGACUGCUUUUGAAACUGGUGGACUAGAUUGCAGGAGAGGUAAGUGGAAUGCGUAGUGUAGCGGUGAAAUGCGUAGAUAUUGGGAGGAACACCAGUGGCGAAGGCGGCUUGCUGGACUGUAAAUGACGCUGAGGCUCGAAAGCGUGGGGAGCGAACAGGAUUAGAUACCCCUGUAGUC
rnacentral:rRNA from 1 species